rnacentral:rRNA from 1 species
UACGGAGGAUGCAAGCGUUAUCCGGAAUGGUUGGGCGUAAAGGGUCCGCAGGUGGCGGUGUAAGUCUGCUGUCAAAGAAUGAGGCUUAACCUUAUCAAGGCAGUGGAAACUACACAGCUAGAGUACGGUCGGGGUAGAAGGAAUUCCUGGUGUAGCGGUGAAAUGCGUAGAGAUCAGGAAGAACACCGGUGGCGAAAGCGUUCUGCUAGACCUGUACUGACACUGAGGGACGAAAGCUAGGGGAGAGAAUGGG